GAUCACGAGAGGACGCCAGAGAAAGAUUUGCUGGAGGCCAAGAGGGAGGCCUGCCGCGCUACAAACGGCAUAGAAAGAUCAUUAAAAGCCUGAAAAAGCCACUGAGGGCUCUGGGACUCUCCUUUGCUGCUCUGCCUGUGCCCACCUGCACUACAACAGCUGGAACCCUGAAAGCUGGCCAGGCCCCCGCCUGAGAGCUGAAGUCAGGAACCAGAGCCUACAAAAUCCGCUCCGGAUCUUCCUCGACUCAGGGUGACUCGUGACCUUCGGCCUCUGGCAGGUUCUCAGUGGGGCCUCCCUGGUGGCACAGCAAGUUAAGCAGAGCACCGUGAAGCUAUCCGCGGCCUCUACAGCAUGAGUUCGAUCCCCAGCCAGACAGGGAGCUACCCACAUGGCGCAGCAGACCUCUCCUGUCUCGCCCGCUGCUCCCUUCAGCAGUGUUUUCGGUCAAUCUGCCUGUUCUGUUCCCCACUCUGUCUCUGGUGGAUCCUCUCACACUCCCACACCUCUGGCCUCUACCCCAGUUCUUG